rnacentral:rRNA from 1 species
ACCCCAGGUCAGGGGGGGCUACCCGCGA